UAUGCCUCCGAAUAACCACACUGUGAAAAAACGACACACCGUUUGGUUCAGACAGAGGCGCAUAUCAAAGGUUGAACAUUCGAAUUGGUAUGAGGGUACGGAAACGCUUUCUCUUCUGUUCCUUACCUGGAUAUAUUCGGAUAUUC